UACGUAGGGUGCGAGCGUUAAUCGGAAUUACUGGGCGUAAAGCGCACGUAGGCGGUUUGUUAUGUCGGAUGUGAAAGCCCUUGGCUCAACUGAGGAAGUGCAUCCGAAACUGGCAAGCUAGAGUACUAAAGAGGGUCGCGGAAUUCCCGGUGUAGAGGUGAAAUUCGUAGAUAUCGGGAGGAACACCGGUGGCGAAGGCGGCGACCUGGGUAGAUACUGACGCUGAGGUGCGAAAGCGUGGGGAGCAAACAGG
rnacentral:rRNA from 1 species